GCCAGGCAUUAACAUCCAUGCAAGUGGAUCGUUUCGUUGCAAUAUUUUAUACAAAUAUCUUUAGAUCACAUGGCUAAUAAAUAAGCAUACCAUACUGUGUUUAGAAUCGUUGUUUUCCCUGUUGAAUUCUGUGAUCAAACCCUUGCGUGAUCGGAACCCUAGUUCUCAACAGAUCGAAUUCAAGAACUUUCUUGAUUCCCAUGAGAUGGAAUCUAGGGGCUUAUUUUCUUUUUCUCGUACCAUCUUCUCUCUGUGGAUUCGGGUUAUUGCAUUCUCAAAGAGAGAUGCAGAGUCCCCUUUAUGUUUAAGGGGGUUGGCUUCCAAGGUCAAGAGUAUGCCUGUUUUUUAUGACGUGACGCCAUUCGAUCUCAGCUGCCGAUUGAAGUGAGUGUUUACAUUCAAUCCAUUAUGGUGUAGAGGGUAUGAGGAUCUGGUUGGGAACUUUCUCAAAUAGUGUACUGGUUUACCUCUGUCUCUCAAUUUAAAAUUAAUGAAUGGAAGCAUAUCGGAGAGAUCUAGAACUGAGAAGACACUUCUUAUUUCCAAAGACAAAUGCCUUGUUGAACUCAACAAUGAAUAAAAACGGAUCCAUAUAGUUCAAAUGGUACAAGAUAAGUGCCUAGUUGAACUGUAAAGAUGGGUGUGUGCAAAUAAGUGUCUUGUUGAAAUGUGAAGUGGGAAAAUAUCUUCUUCAUGGAUAUUGCUUGUUUUUUUAAAACAAGCAAGAUAAUUUUCAUGGAUAUUGCUUGUUUUUUUAAAACAAGCAAGAUAAUUUUCAUGGAUAUUGCUUGUUUUUUUAAAAACAAGUAAGAUAACUUUCAUGGAUAUUGCAUGUUUUUUUAAACAAGAUGAGGACAUGUUCAAUAAGAUUAGAUUGUAAAGCUAGCAAAUCUAACAUUCAAAGAUAUUGAAUGUUUUUUAAAGCAAACAAGAUAAAUGUCUUGUUGAUUUGUAAAGUGAACAAAUCCAAUCUUCAUGGAUAUUGUAUGUUUUUCUAAUUAAAGAUUAAAAUAACCUGGUUUUCACAGGUUUUCAUGGGUGGAUAUUUCAUAUUUGGAAUGAAAGAAUAAAUGGUCAUAAGAGGAAUUUUCAUGGAUAUUGCAUGGUUUUCGUUAAGAAAUAGAUAUUGCAUAAUUUUAAAGGCAGAUUUUGCAUGUUUUUCAAUUGGAGAAUGAAAGGCCUGGUUAUCAGAGGAAUCUUCGUGGAUAUAACAUUUUUUAACUUAAGGAAUGAUGAGUAUAAUGGUUUUGGACACUCUACACCACAAAUAUUGUGCUUAACUGGGAGCAAGUAAAAACAGAUCUUCAUGGACCCUUUUUGUUAUUAUUUAAAUGAAUGAGAGAAGUUGAGAGUAUGACUGCAUUGAGAUUUGAGGAAGCAUGCCUUUAUUCCUCUCCUCCAUAUAAUAAAGGAAUCUUUUUGAAGCUUGCCUUUAUUCCUCUGAUCCGUAUUAUGAUAUUCACAAUUUUACAUUUUACUGGAAGUUCAUUUUUUUUCGCUUGAACAUAUUAUUUUUUAUUGCAGCAACAAUUAGAUACACUCGCCAGUACCGAUGGCCUUCGGUUUGAGGCAUUUUGAUUCAAUUGACGCUUGAAGAGAUUGUAGCAUAACGCUGCAGAGCUGUCUGCAGUAGUGGGGCUGUCGGCCUUUUAUUUUUGGCAAGGAUUCUCUGUAUUUAGAAGAUACUGGGUUUGUUCCCACCAAAGUCUGAAUGCUUUUUGGGCAUUUUUCCCCUCUUUGAUUGAGGCAGCUAGUAGAGGUCUGCAUCAAAAGUGGUAUUAGAGCAAAAGAACCCUUGGAUUGGGAAGUUCUGUAAGUGUUUGAAGAAAUAGUGGAUACAAAUGGAUUUUAGAUGGGUCACUGGUAAAUGGUGUGGAAGAGUUGAAGCAUCCAGAACUGCAGAAAUAGCUCAAGGAAUGAAGGAGGUUCUAGCAAGGUUAGCUGCAAUAGGGACUGCCCAAAGGAGGGGAAUUUAUCUUGAAGAUUGUAAGUGAUGAAGAGGAAGAAGUGUUACAGGAAACUCAAGGCCAUGAAGAAGAAGAAGUGGAUGCUGCUGCUGAAAGUAGACUUCUUAGAGCCAUGACGAAGAUUGGGAAUACACCUAAGUUAGAUACACCGUGUUACAAUAGGAGCUUGAAUGGUGAGGAACUCAUAGACUGGAUUACAGAGAUGGAAAGAUAUUUUGAUUAUGAAUCAACAAAAGAAUCCAAGAAGGUAAAACUUAGCCUAGAAAAGGUCAUGCAGCCAUAUGGUGGGACUAUGUACAAACUGAAAGGCAGAGGAAAUGGAAGGAAAACAUUAAAAACUGGAAUAAUAUGGUGCCAAAAAUAAAGGCUAAAUUCUUACCUUAAGAUUAUUAGGUGAGCAUAUUCAAGAAAUUGCAGAAUUUGAUACAAAAGGAUAUGGAUGUAAAUGAGUACAUCGAAGAGUUCUAUAAACUCACCAUAAGAGCUGGACACAGAGAAUAUGAUCCAGAAAAGAUAGCAAGGUAUGUAAAUGGACUACAAUUAAAUAUCCAAGACUUAAUUAGUUUGUUCAACUUUAAAAGCAUAGAAGAAGCUUAUCAAUGCACCUUAAGGGUAGAAAAGAAAUUGUACAGAAGACAAUCAGUUAGCUCUAGAGGAAGAGGAAGAUUAUCAAGGGGAAGCGGUCGAUUCAUUGAAAAUAAGAGACAACAGAAUAAUGAAAGGGAUUCAAGCAUUUCUCACAAUGAAUAACAUACUCCAAAAAUUAGCGGUAGAGGAAGUACCUUAAGAGGGAGAGGAAGGAAUUUCACCUAUUAUCGGUGUGGAGAGGAAUCAUUACUUGAUUAUGAGUGUCCUUGAGAAUCAUUUGAUUAUGGAAGGAACCAUCUUGCCGAAGCUAAUGAAGUAUUACCAUCACAAUAUAGUAGAACCCAAAUAUGGAGAAACCCUCGUGCUAAAAAGAAUACUGACGAAGACAGAGAAGGAAGAACUUGAACCAACACAAAGAAGAAAUUUGUUUCGAACUAUUUGUACAUCUCAAGUUAAAUGUUACAGAAUUUUGGUGGAUAGUGGAAGCACUGAUAAUUUGGUAUCUAUAGAGAUGGUAGAAAAGUUAAGAUUACAAAGACUCAAACAUCCAAGGCCCCACUAGAUAUCAUGGUUACAGAAAGAGCAUCCAUUAACGGUAAAUGAGCAAUGUUUAGUUAAUUUUCAUAUUUGGACUUAUCAAGAUGAAAUCUUGUGUGAUAUAAUGCCUAUGGAUGCUUGUUACAUUUUACGUGGAAGAUCAUGGCAAUAUGAUAGGAAAGCUAUUCAUGAUGGUGACAAGAACAAUUAUACCAUCACCAAGGAUGGGAAGGAGUAUAUCUUACAACCACUAAAGGAUAGAGAGGAAGAAGAAGCAAGGGACAAAAGGUAUAUCUUAUUCUAUGGAAGCAAUUUUUAAAUGGAGUAAAGGAUGAAAAGGUUUGUUUUGCUAUAACUUCUAAGUUUGCAAGGAAGGGGGCAGCAGCCGAGAAGAAAAAAAGAAACUCCUGUAGAAGUUCAAAAAUUACUUGAAGAAUAUGCUGAAAUCAUUUCACAUGAAUUGCACGAAGGUCUUCCUCAAAUGAGAAGCAUUAGUCACCAUAUAGAUCUAAUCCCUGGAGCAAGUUUACUUAAUAAGGCUGCAUAUAGGAUGAUCCCAGAAUAAAACGAAGUAAAAAGACAAGUUCAGGAAUUAUUAGAUAAGGGGUUGAUCAGAGAAAGCAUGAGUCCAUGUGUUGUUCCAGCAGUGUUGGCACCAAAAAGGAGUGGAGGAUGGCGAAUGUGCAUAGAUCCUUGGGCCAUAAAUAAAAUCACCAUCAAAUAUCGGUUUCCAUUGCCACAAAUGGAUAACCUAAUGGAUUGUUUGAGUGGAGCAAGGUAUUUCACGAAGAUUGAUUUGAAAAGUCAUCAAAUUCGAAUAAGGGAAGGUGAUGAAUGGAAGACAGCCUUCAAGAUCAAAGAUGGGUUGUAAAAAUGGUUGGUCCUGCCAUUUGGGCUAACCAAUGCACCAAGUACAUUUAUGAAUUGAUGAAUGAAGUGCUCAAACCAUAUGUUGGUAAGUUCGUGAUCAUUUAUCUUGGUGAAAUUUUGAUUUUUAGUAAAACAAAAGAGGAUCAUAUGAAACAUUUGCAAUUGGUUUUACAAAGGUUAAAGCAGGAAAAGUUGCAGAUUAACUUGAAGAAAUGUAGAUUUAUAAAGGAGGAGCUGGUAUAUUUAAGCUUUGUGAUCUCUUCAAAGGACUAAAAAUGGACCCAGAAAAGGUUAAAGCCAUUGUAGAAUGGCCAUCACCCAAAAGCACAUUUAUCCAUGAAAGGAAAAAGAACUGAUUUAAAAUGGACAGCAGCAGCAGAAAGGAGUUUUCCGCUUCUCAAGGAAAAAGUAACAGGCCAACCUUUAUUGGCCUUGCCAGACUUUAACAAAGGUGUUUCAAGUAGACUGUAAUGCAAGCAAUGUAGCCAUUGGUGGGUUCUAAGCCAAGAGGGAAAACCUAUUGCCUACUUCAGUGAAAAGCUAAAUGAAGCCAAAAGGAAAUAUUCAGUUUAUAAUCAAGAAUUCUACGCUAUUAUUCAGGCAUUGAAGAAAUGGAGACACUAUUUGCUGCCUAAGGAGUUUGUCCUAUACACUGCUCAUCAUGCUCUACAAUAGAUUAAUAGCCAAGGUAAGCUCAGUCAGAGGCACAUGAAAUGGGUUGAAUUUUUACAAAGUCAUUUUUUUGUCUUAAAACAUAAGUUGGAAGACUAAUCGAGUAGUAGAUGUUUUGAGUAGAAGAAUUUUCUUGUUGACUGAAAUGAAAAUUGAAUUGAAUUUAUUGGAUUUGAAGCAAUCAAAUAUCUAUAUGAGGAAGAUGCAGAUUCCAAAGAAGCUUAGAGCUGCAUGUAAACACCCAAUGGGUCAAGAUAAACCCCAUGGUUGGAGUAUUUUGUUCAAGAAGGUUUGCUUUUCAAAGGCAAAUGUUUGUGCAUACCCCGUGGAUCCAUGAAAAUUUAAUAAGAGGAAAACAUAGUGGCCGUUUGGCUGGUUAUUUUGGUGUAAACAAAACCUUGACACACAUAGAAGAAAAAUAUUAUUGGCCUAGAAUGAACAGGGAUGUUCAACACUUGGUUCAACGAUGUCGAGUCUGCCAACUUGCCAAAGGAAGAAGUCAGAAUACUGGAUUGUGUCAGUUUUUGCCUAUUCUUGAAAGGCCAUGGGAAGAAGUAAGCAUGGAUUUUGUUUCCUUGGGUUACCAAGGACCCCAAGAGGUAAUGACUCUAUCUUUAUUGUAGUUGAUCAAUUUUCCAAAAUGCCUCACUUUAUUCCCUGCAAAGAGACAAAUGAUGUUUCUUGCAAAUUUAUUAUGCAAGGAAAUAGUGAGGCUUCAUGGUCUACCAAAAAGUAUAGUUUUAUAUCGUAUUACGAAGUUCGUAAGUCAUUUUUGGACAACAUUGUGGAAGAAGUGGGAAACUAAGUUAAAUUUCAGUUCAGCCUAUCACCCAGAAACAGAAGUUGGAAAGAGGCCUACCCAAUGGGAUUUAGUGUUAGCACACGUGAAAUUCUCAAUAGAAGUACAAAAAGGACUCCCUUUUAGAUUGUUUAUAGAUAUCAUCCAAGGGAGGUAGAUACCUUGCGAAGUACUGUUGAAGUUAGCAAAACAAGUGCAGCAGUUGAAGAUUUUGUAAAAUACAUAUAUCAAUUGUAGCAAGAAGUUAGAAAGAAUCUGGAGAAGAGUACACAAAGAUACAAGGAAGACGCUGAUCACCACCAAAUAAACCAAGAAUUUCAGAUUGGGGAAUUCAUGCUUGUAUACUUAAGAAAGGAGAGAUUUCCUCAAGGGACUUAUAACAAGUUAAAGUGGGAGAAGAUUGGACCAUGCAAGGUCCUGAGAAAAUUUUCAGCUAAUGCCUAUGAGGUAAAACUUCCAAAAGGCAUUGAUAUUUCUCCAAUUUUUAACGUUGCAGAUUUAUUGCCUUGUCAUCAAGAGUCAAACCAAGACGAAUGCAUUGAGGAUCAGCAAACGGAGUGGCUAGAGCAAUUUCCUAGAAAAGAAGAGGAAGAAUUCAAAGUUGUGAUUUAUUUCUGAACAAGCAAAAGGACACGGAUUAAAGAGUAUUGAAAAUACUUGGUUAAAUGGAAAGACUGAUCAAUAGAGGAGGUUACCUGGAUGAAAGAAUCAGAAAUGGUCAAGGAAUGAAUACCAAUUCCUGAACACCUAAAAGUUCACGAGUCUUUCAAUUCAUGAACGUUUCUACAAAUUGGGGCACCUGAUGCAGGGGCAAAUUUGGCAUAAUUUUCUUUUUAAGCUAUGUCUGUAAAGUCCAAAUGUUUUUUGACAUUUUUCCCCUUGUUGAUGGAGGCAGCUAGUGUAGGUUGGCAAUGGCUGCUGUUUGUAGGAAUCAGCUCCUUUAAAAGGAUCAUGCCAUGCUCAAGUGAAAAAAGGCAGAGCUGAAAAGUAAUCAAGGGGAGUCGAGCAGGUAUUCUGGGUAUUGGGAAGAGUAUUGGUGUUAUUUAUGACAUUUUGUUUUUCCAGUAUUAUCUUGAUUGCUGUAGAUGUGUGUGUGGUUUCUUAUUCUCAGUUAUGUGAUAGUUUGUUGCUGUGUCUCUGAGUUUAUGAUCAUGUAAUGGUGAUUUUCUGUAAUAAACAUUUGCUGGUUUUAGAAAAAUCUCAGUUGUUAUCUGCAAGCUGAUUUUGUUUUCAUCCGAGUUCCUUAAGCUGCCAUAGUCAACCACCUUCAUUGGGUCCUUGACUGCUGGUCUGCAUCAAUUGCUUAGUCAUGAGAAAUGAGUUCCUGUGAAUACUGGAGCAAUGAAAUUUGACUCAAAGCUAAACAUAAUCUCAAUAAAUCAUUACACCAUACUUGCCAUAGUUAAAUAGCUAACAUAAAAAAAUUAACUGCAAAUUUCAGGUUCAAUUCCAGUUGAAAUAGAUAGCUUUUCAUGAAAUCUCAUUACAGGAGGCUACAAAUUCACAAGAAAUAUUAAAUUGUUUGAGAAGUACAUCCCAAAAAAUGUCAUUUGAUGGGAGUUAUUUAUCAGAAUCCCUAGAAAACUCACCUAUCCCAGAAGCUUAGGUUUGAGUAAUUUCAUGUUAGGUGGAAAAGUGGCUUUAACCAAUAGUGACCGUAGUGGAGAGUCAAACAACUUUCGAGUCCACAUGACUGUCCUUGAAACCAUUAAGACAAGUUACAUAAAACAUGCAAAUAAGGUCUGAAUUAACAGGGAAAAUUGUGCCAGCUUUGAGUUUCUCUACCUUCAGCGCAUUGAAAAUCAAAUUGAAGUGGAUUUAACACUAAUAAAAACUCACAGUUGUCUUUGGCUAAAUGGGUUUAACACUGAUAACAACACGGUUGUUUUUGGCUAAGGUUCUGUAGGAAAUUGAAACAUGUGUAUAGGUCCUGAUGAUAUGUCAAAUCUUGUAAAUUUAGACAUACUCAAAGCCGUUAGGAGCUUGAAGAGUUGCCAAGUACACUGCACAUCCAGUUGCUUGGAGAGAAUUAUUUUUGAAUAAUUGCAGGAUAUAAUCAGCAACGAAGAGUUGAAGAAUUUCAGUAUAAGAAAUUUCAGUUUUUCAUUAAGGCAUUUACCAUAUUCAUAAU